rnacentral:rRNA from 1 species
AUACGGAGGGUGCAAGCGUUGUUCGGAAUUACUGGGCGUAAAGCGCGCGUAGGCGGUCUGUUAUGUCAGAUGUGAAAGUCCUCGGCUCAACCGGGGAAGUGCAUUUGAAACUGGCAGACUUGAGUACUGGAGGGGGUGGUGGAAUUCCCGGUGUAGAGGUGAAAUUCGUAGAUAUCGGGAGGAAUACCGGUGGCGAAGGCGACCACCUGGCCAGAUACUGACGCUGAGGUGCGAAAGCGUGGGGAGCAAACAGGAUUAGAAACCCUAGUAGUCC